GAUGAACGCUAGCGGCAGGCCUAACACAUGCAAGUCGAGGGAGGAGCCUUCGGGCUUCGACCGGCGUACGGGUGCGUAACGCGUAUACAAUCUGCCUUUCACAUAGGGAUAGCCCGAAGAAAUUUGGAUUAAUACCUAAUGGUAUAUAGAUGUGGCAUCACCUUUAUAUUAAAGCUGAGGCGGUGAAAGAUGAGUAUGCGUUCUAUUAGCUAGUUGGAGAGGUAACGGCUCCCCAAGGCGACGAUAGAUAGGGGUUCUGAGAGGGAUAUCCCCCACACUGGUACUGAGAUACGGACCAGACUCCUACAGGAGGCAGCAGUGAGGAAUAUGGGACAAUGGUCGGAAGACUGAUCCAGCCAUGCCGCGUGCAGGAAGACGGCCUUAUGGGUUGUAAACUGCUUUUGCAGGGGAAGAAUAAGGACUACGCGUAGUUUGAUGACGGUACUCUGCGAAUAAGCAUCGGCUAACUCCGUG
rnacentral:rRNA from 1 species